UACAGAGGGUGCGAGCGUUAAUCGGAAUUACUGGGCGUAAAGCGCGCGUAGGCGGCUUUGCAAGUCGGGUGUGAAAUCCCCAGGCUUAACCUGGGAACUGCAUUCGAGACUGCAUUGCUAGAGUAUGGGAGAGGGAAGUGGAAUUUCAGGUGUAGCGGUGAAAUGCGUAGAUAUCGAGAGGAACACCAGUGGCGAAGGCGAGUCCCUGGACAGGUCCUGACGCUGAGGCACGAAAGCUAGGGGAGCAAACAGG
rnacentral:rRNA from 1 species